CAGCAGCCACGGUAACACGUAGGUGGCAAGCGUUGCCCGGAAUUAUUGGGCGUAAAGGGCUCGCAGGCGGUUUCUUAAGUCUGAUGUGAAAGCCCCCGGCUCAACCGGGGAGGGUCAUUGGAAACUGGGAAACUUGAGCGCAGAAGAGGAGAGUGGAAUUCCACGUGUAGCGGUGAAAUGCGUAGAGAUGUGGAGGAACACCAGUGGCGAAGGCGACUCUCUGGUCUGUAACUGACGCUGAGGAGCGAAAGCGUGGGGAGCGAACAGGAUUAGAUACCCCAGUAGUCCCUGUCUCUUAUAC
rnacentral:rRNA from 1 species